rnacentral:pre_miRNA from 9 species
UCCGCUUGUGCUUUUAUCUGUCUGUCCACCAAUGGCACUGGUAGAAUUCACGGUUGCUAUGGAAACCCGUGGGUUUUCCGGUGCCAUACGUGGAUUGAUGCUUCUUGCUUCCUUGCCGCU